rnacentral:rRNA from 1 species
GACGAACGCUGGCGGCGUGCUUAACACAUGCAAGUCGAACGGAAAGGCCCUGCUUUUGUGGGGUGCUAGAGUGGCGAACGGGUGCGUAACACGAGAGAAACCUGCCCUUGACUUAGGGAUAACUUCAGGAAACUGGGGCUAAUAACGGAUAGGAGCUCCUGCUGCAUGGUGGGGGUUGGCAAGUUACGGCGGUUGGGGAUGGACUCGCGGCUUAUCAGCUUGUUGGUGGGGCAGUGGCUUACCAAGGCUUUGACGGGUAGCCGGCCUGAGAGGGUGACCUGCCACAGUAGGACUGAGAUACGGCCCAGACUCCUACGGGAGGCAGCGGUGGGGAAUAUUGCACAAGGGGCGGAAGCCUGAUGCAGCAACGCCGCGUUCGGGAUGACGGCCUUCGGGUUGUAAACCUCUUUCGCCUGUGACGAAGCGUGAGUGACGGUAAUGGGUAAAGAGGCACGGGCUAACUACGUG